GGGGUCGAUCAGGUUUCGACGUCGUGCAUUGAGCCAGGGGAAGCGUGCCGGUGCAGGCUGGAGACCACCGUGAGCGUCGCAGCACACUGAUAAGCGCCGAGAAGAACUCUCAGCGUGACUUCGCUCUCGCUGCCUAAUACAGCGAAGUGAGUCUGUCAGCCCGGAUUCCGUUCCCGGUCCGGUCACUGGCAUCGUUCAGGGGACUUCACCCGCCACCCGGGUCACCCGGGGUGACGGGGACAUUCAAGGGUGACUGGGCUCAUCGUCCGGACGUGUCCGCGUGAUCCGGAGAGCCGAGCAGGGAUGGUCGUGGACUGCGCACGGAGAAGCCCUGGCGAGGUCGCGACGGACCCGGGUUCAAUUCCCGGCGGCUCCACCG
rnacentral:tmRNA from 1 species